CCUACGGGAGGCAGCAGUGAGGAAUAUUGGUCAAUGGACGAGAGUCUGAACCAGCCAAGUAGCGUGAAGGAUGACUGCCCUAUGGGUUGUAAACUUCUUUUAUAUGGGAAUAAAACGUUCCACGUGUGGGAUUUUGUAUGUACCAUAUGAAUAAGGAUCGGCUAACUCCGUGCCAGCAGCCGCGGUAAUACGGAGGAUCCGAGAGUUAUCCGGAUUUAUUGGGUUUAAGGGGAGCGUAGGGGGAUUGUUAAGUCAGUUGUGAAAGUUUGCGGCUCAACCGUAAAAUUGCAGUUGAAACUGGCAGUCUUGAGUACAGUAGAGGUGGGCGGAAUUCGUGGUGUAGCGGUGAAAUGCUUAGAUAUCACGAAGAACUCCGAUUGCGAAGGCAGUUCACUGGACUGCAACUGACACUGAGGCUCGAAAGUGUGGGUAUCAAACAGGAUUAGAUACCCUGGUAGUC
rnacentral:rRNA from 1 species